UACGUAGGGUGCAAGCGUUGUCCGGAAUUAUUGGGCGUAAAGAGCUCGUAGGCGGUUUGUCGCGUCUGCUGUGAAAACGCGAGGCUCAACCUCGCGCCUGCAGUGGGUACGGGCAGACUAGAGUGUGGUAGGGAGAUUGGAAUUCCUGUGUAGCGGUGGAAUGCGCAGAUAUCAGGAGGAACACCGAUGGCGAAGGCAGAUCUCUGGCCAUUACUGACGCUGAGGAGCGAAGCGUGGGGGGGCGAACAGG
rnacentral:rRNA from 1 species